CCUACGGGGGGCUGCAGUAACGGAUCUUCCGCAAUGCACGCAAGUGUGACGGAGCGACGCCGCGUGUGGGACGAAGUCCUUCGGGAUGUAAACCACUGUCAGGGGUUACCAAGACCUGAGGAGCCCCAGAGGAAGGCACGGCUAACUCUGUGCCAGCAGCCGCGGUAAGACAGAGGUGCCGAGCGUUAGGCGGAAUCACUGGGCUUAAAGCGUGUGUAGGCGGACCGUUAAGUGCCUUGUGAAAUCCCACGGCUCAACCGUGGAACUGCUGGGCAUACUGGCGGUCUUGGGCCACCCAGGGGCGGCCGGAACAAGCGGUGGAGCGGUGAAAUGCGUAGAUAUCGCUUGGAACGCCGACGGCGAAAGCAGGCCGCUGGGGGUGAGCCGACGCUGAGACACGAAAGCCAGGGGAGCGAACGGGAUUAGAUACCCUAGUAGUC
rnacentral:rRNA from 1 species